AAUCAACGCUGGCGGCGUGCCUCAGACAUGCAAGUCGAACGAUUAAAGCUCUCUUCGGAGAGUGUAUAGAGUGGCGCACGGGUGAGUAACACGUAAGUAAUCUACCCUCGAGUGGGGAAUAACAACCGGAAACGGUUGCUAAUACCGCAUAAUGCAGCGGCACCGCAAGGUGACAGUUGUUAAAGAUUUAUCGCUUGAGGAGGAGCUUGCGGCAGAUUAGCUAGUUGGUAGGGUAACGGCUUACCAAGGCUACGAUCUGUAACCGGUCUAAGAGGACGGUCGGUCACACUGACACUGAAUAACGGGUCAGACUCCUACGGGAGGCAGCAGUCGGGAAUUUUGGGCAAUGGGCGAAAGCCUGACCCAGCAACGCCGCGUGAAGGAUGAAGUAUUUCGGUAUGUAAACUUCGAAAGAAUAGGGAAGAAUUAAUGACGGUACUAUUUAUAAGGUACCGGCUAACUACGUGCCAGC
rnacentral:rRNA from 1 species